GCUGGGCAUGGUGGUGGGCGCCUGUAAUCCCAGCUACUCGGGAGGCUGAGGCAGGAGAAUCGCUUGAACCCAGGAGGUGGAGGUUGCAGUGAGCCGAGAUCAUGCCACUGCACUUCUCCAGCCUGGGUAACAGAGCAAUACCCUGUCUCAA
ensembl:misc_RNA Metazoa_SRP Metazoan signal recognition particle RNA